rnacentral:misc_RNA from 1 species
UACGAGGGGUGCAAGCGUUGUCCGGAAUUAUUGGGCGUAAAGAGCUCGUAGGCGGCUUAGCAAGUCGGGUGUGAAACCUCCAGGCUUAACCUGGAGACGCCACUCGAUACUGCUAUGGCUAGAGUCCGGUAGGGGACCACGGAAUUCCUGGUGUAGCGGUGAAAUGCGCAGAUAUCAGGAGGAACACCGGUGGCGAAGGCGGUGGUCUGGGCCGGCACUGACGCUGAGGAGCGAAAGCGUGGGUAGCAAACAGG